GCGCGGGUGGUGAAAUGGUAUACACGCUACCUUGAGGUGGUAGUGCCGAAAGGUGUGGAGGUUCGACUCCUCUCCCGCGCACAA
rnacentral:tRNA from 1 species